AAAAUAAGAGAGUAGGUGUAUUACCUUGCCCCUGAGAUCGUCAAGCUCUGUUUUCAAGGAAUCAUACAAUGAACUUGGCUUCUGGUAAGUUAAAAUUUCUUGAAAUUUUAACUUACCAGAAGCCAAGUUCAUUGUACGAUUCCUUUUAAACAGAGCGUGACGAUAUCAGGGGCAAGGUAAUACACCUACACUCUUAUUUU
rnacentral:pre_miRNA from 1 species